UAGGUCAUCCAUACAUUGCCAUGUUGGUCC
rnacentral:piRNA from 1 species